AACGUGAUAGCUCAGCUGGUAGAGCGUGUGAUUUUUAAUCAUAAAGAGGCUGGUUCGAACCCAGUUCACGUUA
rnacentral:tRNA from 2 species